rnacentral:rRNA from 1 species
CGCGUCUGCCGUGAAAGUCCGGGGCUCAACUCCGGAUCUGCGGUGGGUACGGGCAGACUAGAGUGAUGUAGGGGAGACUGGAAUUCCUGGUGUAGCGGUGAAAUGCGCAGAUAUCAGGAGGAACACCGAUGGCGAAGGCAGGUCUCUGGGCAUUAACUGACGCUGAGGAGCGAAAGCAUGGGGAGCGAACAGGAUUAGAUACCCUGGUAGUCCAUGCCGUAAACGUU